rnacentral:tRNA from 1 species
CGGGCCGUAGUAUAAUGGUAGUACGCGAGGCUGGGGGCCUUGUAGCCGGAGUUCAAUUCUCCGCGGCCCGACAA